rnacentral:rRNA from 1 species
GAUGAACGCUGGCGGCGUGCCUAAUACAUGCAAGUCGAGCGAACAGACGAGGAGCUUGCUCCUCUGACGUUAGCGGCGGACGGGUGAGUAACACGUGGAUAACCUACCUAUAAGACUGGGAUAACUUCGGGAAACCGGAGCUAAUACCGGAUAAUAUAUUGAACCGCAUGGAUCAAUAGUGAAAGACGGUUUUGCUGUCACUUAUAGAUGGAUCCGCGCCGCAUUAGCUAGUUGGUAAGGUAACGGCUUACCAAGGCAACGAUGCGUAGCCGACCUGAGAGGGUGAUCAGCCACACUGGAACUGAGACACGGUCCAGACUCCUACGGGAGGCAGCAGUAGGGAAUCUUCCGCAAUGGGCGAAAGCCUGACGGAGCAACGCCGCGUGAGUGAUGAAGGUCUUCGGAUCGUAAAACUCUGUUAUUAGGGAAGAACAAAUGUGUAAGUAACUAUGCACGUCUUGACGGUACCUAAUCAGAAAGCCCCGGCUAACUACGUG